GACGAACGCUGGCGGCGCGCUUAACACAUGCAAGUCGAGCGAGAACCAGGGCUUCGGCCCUGGGGACAGCGGCGAACGGGUGAGUAACACGUGGAUAACCUGCCCUCGGCACCGGGAUAGCCCGGGGAAACUCGGAUUAAUACCGGAUAGCCCAGCUGGCUUUCGGGCCGGCCGGAAAAGGUAGCUUCGGCCUCUGGCCGAGGAUGGGUCCGCGGCGGAUUAGCUUGUUGGUGGGGUAACGGCCUACCAAGGCUCCGAUCCGUAGCUGGUCUGAGAGGACGAUCAGCCACACUGGGACUGAGACACGGCCCAGACUCCUACGGGAGGCAGCAGUGGGGAAUCUUGCGCAAUGGGCGAAAGCCUGACGCAGCGACGCCGCGUGAGGGAGGAAGGCCUUCGGGUUGUAAACCUCUUUCAGGAGGGACGAAGCUACUCGGGUGAAUAGCCCAGAGGGUGACGGUACCUCCAGAAGAAGCCCCGGCUAACUACGUGC
rnacentral:rRNA from 1 species